rnacentral:rRNA from 1 species
UGGCUCAGAACGAACGCUGGCGGCAGGCUUAACACAUGCAAGUCGAGCGCCCCGCAAGGGGAGCGGCAGACGGGUGAGUAACGCGUGGGAAUCUACCCAUCUCUACGGAAUAACUCAGGGAAACUUGUGCUAAUACCGUAUACGCCCUAUGGGGGAAAGAUUUAUCGGAGAUGGAUGAGCCCGCGUUGGAUUAGCUAGUUGGUGGGGUAAUGGCUCACCAAGGCGACGAUCCAUAGCUGGUCUGAGAGGAUGAUCAGCCACACUGGGACUGAGACACGGCCCAGACUCCUACGGGAGGCAGCAGUGGGGAAUAUUGGACAAUGGGCGCAAGCCUGAAUCCAGCCAUGCCGCGUGAGUGAUGAAGGCCUUAGGGUUGUAAAGCUCUUUCACCGGUGAAGAUAAUGACGGUAGCCGGAGAAGAAGCCCCGGCUAACUUCGUGCCAGCAGCGGC